AGUGAACGCUGGCGGUAGGCCUAACACAUGCAAGUCGAACGACAGCACAGUAAGAGCUUGCUCUUACGGGUGGCGAGUGGCGGACGGGUGAGGAAUACAUCGGAAUCUACUUUUUCGUGGGGGAUAACGUAGGGAAACUUACGCUAAUACCGCAUACGACCUACGGAUGAAAGCAGGGGAUCUUCGGACCUUGCGCGAUUGAAUGAGCCGAUGUCGGAUUAGCUAGUUGGCGGGGUAAAGGCCCACCAAGGCGACGAUCCGUAGCUGGUCUGAGAGGAUGAUCAGCCACACUGGAACUGAGACACGGUCCAGACUCCUACGGGAGGCAGCAGUGGGGAAUAUUGGACAAUGGGCGCAAGCCUGAUCCAGCCAUACCGCGUGGGUGAAGAAGGCCUUCGGGUUGUAAAGCCCUUUUGUUGGGAAAGAAAAGCAGCAGGUUAAUACCCCGCUGUUCUGACGGUACCCAAAGAAUAAGCACCGGCUAACUUCGUG
rnacentral:rRNA from 1 species